CCUACGGGUGGCAGCAGUGAGGAAUAUUGGUCAAUGGGCGGAAGCCUGAACCAGCCAAGUCGCGUGAGGGAUUAAGGCCCUGCGGGUCGUAAACCUCUUUUGCCGGGGAGCAGUGGUCCGGACGCGUCCGGACCGGGAGAGUACCUGGAGAAAAAGCAUCGGCUACCACCGUGCCAGCAGCCGCGGUAAUACGGGGGAUGCGAGCGUUAUCCGGAUUUAUGGGGGUUAACGGGUGCGUGGGGGGAAAUUUAAGUCGGCGGUAAAAUGUCGGGGCUCAACCUCGGCGUGCCGUCGAAACUGGGUGCCUUGAGUGGGCGAGAAGUAUGCGGAAGGCGGGGUGUAGCGGUGAAAUGCAUAGAUAGCACGCAGAACCCCGAUUGCGAAGGCAGCAUACUGGCGGCCUACUGACGCUGAGGCACGAAAGUGCGGGUAUCGAACAGGAUUAGAUACCCCAGUAGUC
rnacentral:rRNA from 1 species